CCUACGGGUGGCAGCAGUGGGGAAUAUUGCACAAUGGGGGAAACCCUGAUGCAGCGACGCCGCGUGAGUGAAGAAGUACUUCGGUAUGUAAAGCUCUAUCAGCAGGGAAGAAAAAAGACGGUACCUGACUAAGAAGCCCCGGCUAACUACGUGCCAGCAGCCGCGGUAAUACGUAGGGGCCAAGCGUUAUCCGGAUUUACUGGGUGUAAAGGGAGCGUAGGCGGUAUGGCAAGUCUGAAGUGAAAGCCCACGGCUUAACCCUGGGACUGCAUUGGAAACUGGUAGACUAGAGUGCUGGAGAGGUGAGUGGAAUUCCUGGUGUAGCGGUGAAAUGCGUAGAUAUUAGGAAGAACACCAGUGGCGAAGGCAGCUUACUGGACAGUAACUGACAUUGAGGCUCGAAAGCGUGGGGAGCAAACAGGAUUAGAUACCCUUGUAGUC
rnacentral:rRNA from 1 species